GACUUAAACCGGAAAAUUAUUUCAAACUUCCGAUGGCAUUUUGUAGCCAGGAAGUAGCAUUUUCUAAAUCCCAGCUAUAACUCUGCUCUUCACCGUUAAAAAAGAAAUUCACUAAUUUUAGUAUUGAUCAAUUAAAUAGAUAAUUGUCCGUAAGACUUAUAUUAUACAUCCGUCAGUUAAAACUCCGCAGUUAUAGAACUUGUAUACUUUUUAAGUUGUGUAUUAUUGUAGGAUUGGAAUAAUUCUGUGAGCCUGUAUUAUAACUAUAGUGUAUUGUAAGCAGGGAAAUUUGUAUGUUUAAAAAAUUUUAUUGAGA